rnacentral:rRNA from 1 species
GCAUUCAGUUGCCAUCGGGUAAUGCCGGGCACUCUGGAAGGACUGCCAUCGACAAGAUGGAGGAAGGUGGGGAGUGACGUCAAGUCAUCAUGGCCCUUAUGUCCAGGGCGACACACGUGCUACAAUGGCCGGCACAACGGGAAGCGAGUUCGCGAGGACGAGCGGAUCCCUCAAAGCCGGUCGCAGUUCGGAUUGAAGUCUGCAACUCGACUUCAUGAAGCUGGAAUCGCUAGUAAUCGUGGAUCAGCCAAGCCGCGGUGAAUACGUUCCCGGGCCUU